rnacentral:rRNA from 1 species
CCUACGGGAGGCAGCAGUAGGGAAUAUUGCGCAAUGGAGGAAACUCUGACGCAGCGACGCCGCGUGGGUGAUGAAGGCCUUCGGGUCGUAAAGCCCUGUC